rnacentral:rRNA from 1 species
UAGUCAUAUGCUUGUCUCAAAGAUUAAGCCAUGCAUGUGUAAGUAUAAGUAUUAUACGGCGAAACUGCGAAUGGCUCAUUAAAUCAGUUAUAGUUUAUUUGAUAAUCGAAGUUACAUGGAUAACCGUGACAAAUUACAGCUAAUACAUGCAGUCAGACCUGGUCCAAGGGUCGUAAUUAUUAGAUAUUAAACCAUUUCCGCAAGGAAUGUGAUGAAUCAUAGUAAUCGAACGAAUUGCAGUUUACUGCAAUAAAUCAUUCAAGUUUCUGCCCUAUCAGCUUUGGAUGGUAGUGUAUUGGACUACCAUGGCUAUCACGGGUAACGGAGAAUUAGGGUUCGAUUCCGGAGAGGGAGCCUGAGAAACGGCUACCACAUCUACGGAAGGCAGCAGGCGCGAAAAUUGCCCAAUCCUGACACGGGGAGGCAGUGACAAGACAUAACUACCCUAGGAAGUUCUCUUAGGAGUGUAAUGAGGAUAAUUUACAAACCUUACUUAAAGCAAUU